rnacentral:rRNA from 1 species
AAGUCGUACGCGAAAGGGGGCAACCCCCGGUAGCGUGGCAGACGGGUGAGUAACACGUGAGCAAUCUGCCCCGAGGUGGGGAAUAACUUUCCGAAAGGAAGGCUAAUACCGCAUGACAUCGCAGGGUCCUCGGAUCCCGCGAUCAAAGCUGGCCUCUGUUUACAAGCUAGCGCCACGGGAGGAGCCCGCGCCCCAUUAGCUAGUUGGUGAGGUAACGGCUCACCAAGGCGACGAUGGGUAGCCGGCCUGAGAGGGUGAUCGGCCACACUGGAACUGAGACACGGUCCAGACUCCUACGGGAGGCAGCAGUGAGGAAUAUUGCGCAAUGGGCGAAAGCCUGACGCAGCGACGCCGCGUGGAGGAUGAAGGUCUUCGGAUUGUAAACUCCUGUCGUGCGGGACGAAUGCCUCGGUCGUGAACAACGGCCGGGGUUGACGGUACCGCAGGAGGAAGCCCCGGCUAACUCCGUGCCAGCAGCCGCGGUAAUACGGAGGGGGCCAGCGUUGUUCGGAAUCAUUGGGCGUAAAGGGUGCGUAGGCGGCCGAUCAAGUCGAACGUGAAAUCUCCCGGCUCAACCGGGAACCUGCGUCCGAUACUGCUCGGCUCGAGUCCGGGAGAGGGUAGUGGAAUUCCCAGUGUAGCGGUGAAAUGCGUAGAUACUGGGAGGAACACCGGUGGCGAAGGCGGCUACCUGGACGGGUACUGACGCUGAGGCGCGAGAGCUGGGGGAGCAAACAGGAUUAGAUACCCUGGUAGUCCCAGCUGUAAACGAUGGGCACUUGGUGUUGCGGGUAUCGACCCCUGCAGUGCCGAAGCUAACGCAUUAAGUGCCCCGCCUGGGGAGUACGGUCGCAAGGCUGAAACUCAAAUGAAUUGACGG